rnacentral:miRNA from 1 species
CAUCGCUACUAGUUUGGUGCAAAAGUAAUUGCAGUGUUGCCAUAAUGUAAUGUCAAAAACUGCAAUUACUUUUGCACCAAACUAAGAGAU